CAACCUGGUGAUCCUGCCAGUAGUCAUAUGCUUGUCUCAAAGAUUAAGCCAUGCAUGUCUCAGUUUAAGCAGCUCCAYAGCAACACUGUGCAUGGCUCAUUAAAACAGCCACAACCUGGGUCGUGGUCCUGCUACAUGGAUAUCUUCGGCAAUUCUGCAGCUAAUACAUGCACCAGCAUUCACCUGUGGUGAGUUGUGGUUGUUGCAUUCAGAAUUAAUGCAAGCUGUGCUUGAUGACCAGAUGAAUCAUUACAACUGCAUGGAUUGUAGUUUGUACACUGUUGAUGCUCUAUCAAGGUUUCUGACCUAUCAGCUUCCGAUGGCAGGGUAAAGGCCUACCGUGGCAGUGACAGGUGACGGAGGAUUAGGGUUUGACUCCGGAGAGGGAGCCUGAGAAAUGGCUCCCACAUCUAAGGAAGGCAGCAGGCGCGUGAAUUGCCCAAUCCUGAGAGAGGGAGGUAGUGACAAAAAAUAGCGAUACAAGGCAUCCAUGUUUUGUAAUUGGAAUGAGGGAUCAGUAAAUGUCGUUUUGAGUACCAAUUGGAGGGCAAGUCUGGUGCCAGCAGCCGCGGUAAUUCCAGCUUCAAUAGCGUAUGUUAGAGUUGUUGCAGUUAAAAGGCUCGUAGUUGGAUUUCUGCUGGAGAUUGCUGGUCCGCCCUUCGGGUGAGUAUCUGGUGUGUCCUUGGCAUAUUCUUUGGAGGUGCAACUGCACUUGACUGUGUGGUGCACUUUUGAAGACGUUUACUUUGAGGAAAUGAGAGUGUUUAAAGCAAGUUUUUGCCUUGAAUACAAAAGCAUGGAAUAGUCGCAGAAUCUUGGCCUCAUUUUGUUGGUUUCUGGUGCAGAGGUAGUGGACAACAGGGAUAGUUGGGGGCAUCAGUAUUUGACUGUCAGAGGUGAAAUUCUUGAAUUUGUCAUGGAUUGACUAGUGCGAUGGCAUUUGCCAAGGAUGUUUUCAUUUAUCAAGAACGAAAGUUAGGGGAUUGAAGACGAUUAGAUACCGUCAUAGUCUUAACCAUAAACCAUGCCAACUAGAGAUGGGAGGUCGUUACCUGAAGGACUCCUUCAGCACCUUUUGAGAAAUUGAAAGUUUUUGGGUUCUGGGGGGAGUAUGGUCGCAAGGCUGAAACUUAAAGGAAUUGACGGAAGGGCACCACCAGGAGUGGAGCCUGCGGCUUAAUUUGACUCAACACGGGGAAACUUACCAGGGCCUGACACAAGUUGGAUUGACAGAUUGACAGCUCUUCCUUGAUUCUGUGGGUGGUGGUGCAUGGCCGUUCUUAGUUGGUGGAGUGAUUUGUCUGGUUAAUUCCGAUAACGAACGAGACCUUAACCUGCUAAAGUAGUUACAUGAAAUUGCGAUUCUGUGGCCAAUUUCUUARAGGGACUCUGUGUGUCUAGCAUAAGGAAGUGUGAGGCAAUAACAGGUCUGUGAUGCCCUUARAUGUUCUGGGCUGCACGCGCGCUACACUGAUGUACUCACUGAGUGCCCCAUCUUGCCUGUAGAGGUUGGGCAGUCUUGCAAACCUACGUCGUGAUGGGGAUGGAUCAUUGCAACUAUUGCUCCUGAACGAGGAAUUCCUAGUAAAUGUAUGUCAUCAACUUGCAUUGAUUGUGUCCCUGCCUUUUGUACACACCGCCCGUCGCUCCUACCGAUUGAGUGGUCCGGUGAACAGUUUGGGCCUGCUGUGCCCUUCAGCUCCUGAGAAGUGCAGUGAGAAGUUCAGUGAACCUUAUCACUUAGAGGAAGGAGAAGUCGUAACAAGGUUUUCNGUANGUG
rnacentral:rRNA from 1 species